GGUUAAGUUAGAAAGGGCGCACGGUGGAUGCCUUGGCACUAGGAGCCGAAGAAGGACGGGACUAACACCGAUAUGCUUUGGGGAGCUGUACGUAAGCGUUGAUCCAGAGAUUUCCGAAUGGGGGAACCCACUAUCUUUAGUCGGAUAGUAUCCUUACGUGAAUACAUAGCGUGAGGAAGGCAGACCCAGGGAACUGAAACAUCUAAGUACCUGGAGGAAGAGAAAGAAAAAUCGAUUUCCUGAGUAGCGGCGAGCGAAACGGAAAGAGCCCAAACCAAGAAGCUUGCUUCUUGGGGUUGUAGGACACUCUAUACGGAGUUACAAAAGAAAGUUAUAAAUGAAGCGGUCUGGAAAGGCCCGCCAAAGACGGUAACAGCCCGGUAGUUGAAAUGGCUUUCCCUCCAGAGUGGAUCCUGAGUACGGCGGAACACGUGAAAUUCCGUCGGAAUCCGGGAGGACCAUCUCCCAAGGCUAAAUACUCCCUAGUGACCGAUAGUGAACCAGUACCGUGAGGGAAAGGUGAAAAGCACCCCGGAAGGGGAGUGAAACAGUUCCUGAAACCGUGUGCCUACAAGUAGUUAGAGCCCGUUAAUGGGUGAUAGCGUGCCUUUUGUAGAAUGAACCGGCGAGUUACGAUUUGUUGCAAGGUUAAGCGGAAAAAGCGGAGCCGUAGCGAAAGCGAGUCUGAAUAGGGCGCAUAAGUAACAGGUCGUAGACCCGAAACCAGGUGAUCUACCCAUGUCCAGGAUGAAGGUAAGGUAAUACUUACUGGAGGUCCGAACCCACGCACGUUGAAAAGUGCGGGGAUGAGGUGUGGGUAGCGGAGAAAUUCCAAUCGAACUUGGAGAUAGCUGGUUCUCUCCGAAAUAGCUUUAGGGCUAGCCUCGAGGUAAAGAGUCAUGGAGGUAGAGCACUGUUUGGACUAGGGGCCCUUCUCGGGUUACCGAAUUCAGAUAAACUCCGAAUGCCAUGUACUUAUACUCGGGAGUCAGACUGCGAGUGAUAAGAUCCGUAGUCGAAAGGGAAACAGCCCAGACCACCAGUUAAGGUCCCCAAAUAUAUGUUAAGUGGAAAAGGAUGUGGGGUUGCUUAGACAACCAGGAUGUUGGCUUAGAAGCAGCCACCAUUGAAAGAGUGCGUAAUAGCUCACUGGUCGAGUGACCCCGCGCCGAAAAUGUACCGGGGCUAAACAUAUUACCGAAACUGUGGAUGAACCUCUUUAGAGGUUCGUGGUAGGAGAGCGUUCUAAGGGCGGUGAAGUCAGACCGGAAGGACUGGUGGAGCGCUUAGAAGUGAGAAUGCCGGUAUGAGUAGCGAAAGAAGGGUGAGAAUCCCUUCCACCGAAUAUCUAAGGUUUCCUGAGGAAGGCUCGUCCGCUCAGGGUUAGUCGGGACCUAAGCCGAGGCCGAUAGGCGUAGGCGAUGGACAACAGGUAGAGAUUCCUGUACCAGUGCUAAUUGUUUAACCGAUGGGGUGACACAGAAGGAUAGGGAAUCGCACGAAUGGAAAUGUGCGUCCAAGCAGUGAGUGUGAGAAGUAGGCAAAUCCGCUUCUCGCGAAGCAUGAGCUGUGAUGGGGAAGGAAAUUAAGUACGGAAGUUCCUGAUUUCACGCUGUCAAGAAAAGCCUCUAGGAAGAGUAGUACUGCCCGUACCGCAAACCGACACAGGUAGAUGAGGAGAGAAUCCUAAGGUGAGCGAGAGAACUCUCGUUAAGGAACUCGGCAAAAUGACCCCGUAACUUCGGGAGAAGGGGUGCUCUAUUAGGGUGCAAGCCCGAGAGAGCCGCAGUGAAUAGGCCCAGGCGACUGUUUAGCAAAAACACAGGUCUCUGCAAAACCGUAAGGUGACGUAUAGGGGCUGACGCCUGCCCGGUGCUGGAAGGUUAAGAGGAGUGCUUAGCUUCGGCGAAGGUACGAAUUGAAGCCCCAGUAAACGGCGGCCGUAACUAUAACGGUCCUAAGGUAGCGAAAUUCCUUGUCGGGUAAGUUCCGACCCGCACGAAAGGCGCAACGAUCUGGGCACUGUCUCAACGAGAGACUCGGUGAAAUUAUAGUACCUGUGAAGAUGCAGGUUACCCGCGACAGGACGGAAAGACCCCGUGGAGCUUUACUGCAACCUGAUAUGGAAUGUUUGUACCGCUUGUACAGGAUAGGUAGGAGCCGAAGAGACGUGUGCGCUAGCAUACGAGGAGGCAAUGGUGGGAUACUACCCUGGCUGUAUGACCAUUCUAACCCGCCACGCUUAGCGCGUGGGGAGACAGUGUCAGG
rnacentral:rRNA from 1 species